rnacentral:rRNA from 1 species
GGGGAAUUUUUCGCAAUGGGCGAAAGCCUGACGGAGCAACGCCGCGUGGGGGAUGAAGGCCUCUGGGCUGUAAACCCCUUUUCUCAAGGAAGAAGACCUGACGGUACUUGAGGAAUAAGCCACGGCUAAUUCCGUGCCAGCAGCCGCGGUAAUACGGGAGUGGCAAGCGUUAUCCGGAUUUAUUGGGCGUAAAGCGUCCGCAGGCGGCCUAUUAAGUCUGUCGUUAAAGCGUGGAGCUCAACUCCAUUUCAGCGAUGGCAAUGGGAAGUCUUGAG